AUCAUGGCUCAGGAUGAACGCUAGCUACAGGCUUAACACAUGCAAGUCGAGGGGAAACGAUAGAGAAAGCUUGCUUUUUCUAGGCGUCGACCGGCGCACGGGUGAGUAACGCGUAUCCAACCUGCCCAUCACUUGGGGAUAACCUUGCGAAAGUAAGACUAAUACCCAAUGACGUCUCUAGAAGACAUCUGAAGGAGAUUAAAGAUUUAUCGGUGAUGGAUGGGGAUGCGUCUGAUUAGCUUGUUGGCGGGGUAACGGCCCACCAAGGCGACGAUCAGUAGGGGUUCUGAGAGGAAGGCCCCCCACAUUGGAACUGAGACACGGUCCAAACUCCUACGGGAGGCAGCAGUGAGGAAUAUUGGUCAAUGGGCGAGAGCCUGAACCAGCCAAGUCGCGUGGAGGAAGACUGCCCUACGGGUUGUAAACUCCUUUUACCUGGGAAUAACGGGCGCUACGCGUAGCGCUGUGCAUGUACCGGGAGAAUAAGCAUCGGCUAAUUCCGUG
rnacentral:rRNA from 1 species